GUCAGUCCUCCUAGCAGCCUGAUUAGUAGAAGUUGUUACAGAAACACAGAUGAAACCAUGGGUUAGAAAGAGGUUGAGUGCUAGAGAAUCUUAUGGCUGCAAAAUGAGUAAGCAGAGACUUCAACCACUGUCUUCUGACUCACAGCCCAAGGGAAAGACCAGGCAAGAGUAGGGGUGAAGAAAUCUCAUGUAGAAGCCCAGAACUUUCAAGAGAUAAGAAGUAGAGAGAUUCUGGUUUAAAGAGAGAUGACAGAAGCCCUGAAUGUCCUCUCUUCUGCUCCCCCAGAUACCUUCAUGGACUACAGGGCUGUACAUACGACUGUUGAAGUUUAUAACUAAAAAUAAACCAAUAGGAAAGCUAGCCAUGCCAUAGUGGCUACAUGCAUGGGAUGUGAAGCCACACUUCCUGAGUUUGAAUCCCAGCUCUGCCUCAUCUUAAAAGUGUGAUCAUAGAGAGUGUGCCAACAUCAUUCUAAAUGAUUGGGAUACAUGAGUGGGAGUGAGUGAAGUGGACAAUGGCAGCAUUUUAGAAAAGGAUUAAG
rnacentral:lncRNA from 10 species